AUCCAGCUGACGAUUCCCAAAUAAGACGAAAUGGGCGUCCUGGAU
rfam:Schistosoma mansoni strain Puerto Rico chromosome 3, complete genome